GGCGGCGGGGUGGCAUGAGAAGGUGGCCCCUCUUCUCCAUCUCCCAGUCAGGCGAUUUCUCUGCUGUCUGGGGCAGGGGCGCACACCCCAGGAACUUACUACGUAGAGGGAAGCCAGCCUGGUCUCUCCCCCUUGCGUCAGUGCUCCUAAGCUGCCCCUCACCACUCUGGGCCCAGCCCAAUAGGAAGCACCUGAUCCACACUCUUUCUAGCCCCAGGGAUGCUCAGGAAAGCAGCCUUUCUUUAGGGCUGUCAUCUGUUCUGGGGAUCUGUUGCUGUUUCUUGGGCCCACAGAAUACACUCCACACCUCGGGACUCCAUAAUAUUGGACAAGGCUGGAAGGCCCAUUUGGCUCCUGCAGCCUCUUAUGCAGGAGGACCUCCUGAGGCUUCGGGCAGGAGCUGGUGCACACCUGGAGGAGAGUGCUGGUGAAUGGCAGGUGUGUGCCUCAGUGUCCUUGCUGCCAGGGUGUCAGCCCUGCUUCACCACUGGCCGUUUGUCUCUGUCCCCUCCACUGGCCUCUUGAAGCACAGAGACCCUCCGGGUACUUUCCUUCCUCUGGGCUUCCACUCAUGCUAUUCCCUGCUCCCUUUUUCUACCUGGAGACCCCCAUUCCUCCUCCUCCUCUGCUGCCCUCACCUCCACCUGGGCCCUCCCAGCUCCCGGGAGAUGGCUGAACCCCACUCCCCACCCGCUAGUCAUCCUCUUCAGCGGUCCUCCCAGAGCUGUCCUCAGCAUGGCAGCCUCCACAGCCCCUGGGUGUCACCCCCGGUUUCGUGUCUGCCUCGGACUCCAGACCUGCCCCUCCCAGGCUGGCCCAGAUGGAUCCUCUACAGUGACUAACCCAAACCAGCACCAGGCAGGGACCCAAUAAACCUUUGUGAAUGGA
rnacentral:lncRNA from 1 species